rnacentral:rRNA from 1 species
UACGUAGGGUGCAAGCGUUAAUCGGAAUACUGGGCGUAAAGCGUGCGCAGGCGGUGAUGUAAGACAAGUGUGAAAUCCCCGGGCUUAACCUGGGAACUGCAUUUGUGACUGCAUCGCUGGAGUGCGGCAGAGGGGGAUGGAAUUCCGCGUGUAGCAGUGAAAUGCGUAGAUAUGCGGAGGAACACCGAUGGCGAAGGCAAUCCCCUGGGCCUGCACUGACGCUCAUGCACGAAAGCGUGGGGAGCAAACAGG